rnacentral:rRNA from 1 species
GAUGAACGCUAGCGGCAGGCCUAACACAUGCAAGUCGAGGGGUAGAAGGAGCUUGCUCCUUUGAGACCGGCGCACGGGUGCGUAACGCGUAUGCAAUCUACCUUUUACAGAGGGAUAGCCCAGAGAAAUUUGGAUUAAUACCUCAUAGUAUAUAUCAUUCGCAUGUUUGGUAUAUUAAAGUUCCAACGGUAAAAGAUGAGCAUGCGUCCCAUUAGUUAGUUGGUAAGGUAACGGCUUACCAAGACGAUGAUGGGUAGGGGCCCUGAGAGGGAGAUCCCCCACACUGGUACUGAGACACGGACCAGACUCCUACGGGAGGCAGCAGUGAGGAAUAUUGGUCAAUGGACGCAAGUCUGAACCAGCCAUGCCGCGUGCAGGAAGACGGCCCUAUGGAUUGUAAACUGCUUUUGUACGGGAAGAAACACUCCUACGUGUAGGAGCCUGACGGUACCGUAAGAAUAAGGAUCGGCUAACUCCGUGCCAGCAGCCGCCGUAA